GGAAGAUUGGGCUCAAUCCAAUCCAAUCCAAUCCAAUCCAAUCCGAACCCAACUGAUGAUUACGACAAGAUGGUGCAAGUAUAUUGUUGGAUGAAAAGCUCUUAAUUUUAGUAACUACACUACCCAGAAAUUAUCAUUACUUGUAUGUAAUUGAUUUUUAGAUUAAAUAUAGAAAGCUGAGAUAACUUUCGAUUAUAAUUAAACUUUGAGAAUAUACACCAGCAAUUACUUGUACAGAACCAUUAUUGAUUAGAGCAUUUACCACUGGCUUAUGCUUGAUCCGGUUUAGCUGAAUUAGCCACCAAAACUGACCUUAGUAAGCAGGGUUCCCCAUGGCCUUGAGAGUCAGGCCUGCACAACAAGAUUUGGCUCAUGCUUGAGCAAGUUAAAUAUAUAUGACAACUACUGGUUAAUGGAUUUAUAUAUUGAGAUAAUGGACAGACCAAGAUGAAUUUUAUAACCAAGAAGCAAGUUUGUGCAGAUUUUUCAGUUAUAAAGAUAAAUAUGAAAAUUAAUUAAGUACAUAUAAAAUCCAUAUGGUAACAUGUGUAUGGUUUAUGUCUGAAAAUCCAUUCAUCUGUACUUCGAAAAAUGUUAGGUAUGUGAAAAGACUACAUUUGCCAAUGGAUGUAGCCUCAACUCUACCAUUCCAGUUCAUAUACAGAAUUAUCACUGGUAAAAACCACCAAGCUCAGUUCUUGGGCUUCCUCAACCUCCUUCGCCUAUGGCGUCUUCGCCGGGUUAGUGCCCUCUUCAAAAGGUAUAUGUACUGUAUCAUAUAUAUAUUUGUGUAUAUACCAUAUAUGAUCAACACUCUGUUGUUUAAGCUAAUUGGACCUUGAAUACUUUGUUGCAGGCUAGAGAAAGAUACACAGUUUAGCUACUUUAUAACAAGGCUAUUUAAGCUCCUUUGUGUAAGUGCAAUUCUCAUAAUUUCUAGAGUUUCACACCAAUGAAUAUCCGAUGGAUUUUCAUGUUCAUAUUUCUUCACAAAUAAAUGGCAGGUUACAAUUUUCACCAUACACUCAGCUGCCUGCAUCUACUUUUAUCUAGCUGCACACUAUAAAACACCAGAGGAUACAUGGAUUGGAGUUCAGGUCAAUGAUUUUAAAGAUAGAACCAUCUGGCUAGGCUACACAUACUCCAUGUACUGGUCAAUUGUCACACUCACCACAACUGGCUAUGGAGAUCUACAUGCAGUCAACAUGGGAGAGAAAAUAUUUAACAUGUUCUACAUGCUCUUCAACAUUGGACUCACUGCUUACAUUAUUGGAAACAUGACAAAUCUUGUUGUCCACAGCGCAACCCGAACUUUCUUCAUGGUAGUUGAAUUCUUCUUUUUCAUUGUUGUUUCCACCUGAAAUUAUCAACAGCUGCAAAACAAUGAUGUUACAUCACAUUUGAUGAAACAUCUCAAUUUAAUAUCUAAAACCUGAUUUUCUUCUGGUAACAAGNN
rnacentral:lncRNA from 1 species